rnacentral:rRNA from 1 species
GAGAGAGACAUGCGCGCAUAUCAAUAAGCGGAGGAAAAGAAACUAACAAGGAUUCCCUUAGUAACGGCGAGUGAAGCGGGAAGAGCUCAAAUUUGAAAUCUUCAAGGGUUCUACCUUUACGAAUUGUAGCUUAAAGAAGUGUUUUCUGUUGAGGUUUUGGUAAAAGUUCUUUGGAAUAGGACAUCAUAGAGGGUGAGAAUCCCGUAUUUGACCUUUACUUUCAACUUUGUGAUACACUUUCAAAGAGUCGGAUUGUUUGGGAAUGCAGUCCAAAAUGGGUGGUAAAUUUCAUCUAAAGCUAAAUAUUGGCGAGAGACCGAUAGCGAACAAGUACCGUGAGGGAAAGAUGAAAAGAACUUUGAAAAGAGAGUUAAACAGUACGUGAAAUUGUCAAAAGGGAAGCGUUUGACACCAGUGUUGUUUUUCUGAAAAUCAAUUAAAGAACUGUUUAUGCUAAGCUGUUUAGACUUUAUCAGCUAAUCUGUUUAGUUUUGAGCUUCUCUUUGAUGCACUUUUCAGUUAACAAGUCAACAUCAAUUUCUUUUGCUGUAAAAAAGCUUGAGGAAGGUGGCUUGAGAUUCGUCUUAAGUGUUUAUAGCCUCUUGCCUAUGCAGUCGGAGAGAUUGAGGUCUGCAGCGUAGAUCCUUCGGGGCUAAAUGCAUUUGUGCUAAGUUAUAGCAUUUUAUAGACAACUUGUUGACUAUGAUUUGUCUUGUAGCUUACUCGCUUAUGUUAUUUUACCUACGCUUAGGAUGUUGAGCGCAUGUCUCUCUCU